UUUCGCAAUGCCCGAAAGGGUGACGAAGCGACGCCGCGUGUGGGAAGAAGGCCUUCGGGUUGUAAACCACUGUCGGGAGUUAAGAAAUACAAGGAUAUUAAUAGUGUCUUUGUUUGACUAAGGCUCCGGAGGAAGGCACGGCUAACUCUGUGCCAGCAGCCGCGGUAAUACAGAGGCGGCAAGCGUUGUUCGGAAUUAUUGGGCGUAAAGAGCACGUAGGCGGCUAUGUAAGUCGGUUGUGAAAGCCUUCCGCUCAACGGAAGAACAGCAUCCGAUACUACAUGGCUUGAGUGCGGGAGGGGAGAGUGGAACUUCUGGUGGAGCGGUGAAAUGCGUAGAUAUCAGAAGGAACGCCGGCGGCGAAAGCGGCUCUCUGGCCCAUAACUGACGCUGAGUGUGCGAAAGCUAGGGGAGCAAACGGGAUUAGAUACCCCGGUAGUCCUAGCCGUAAACGGUGGGCACUAAGUAGAGGGGUUUU
rnacentral:rRNA from 1 species